rnacentral:rRNA from 1 species
AUUGAACGCUGGCGGCAGGCUUUACACAUGCAAGUCGAACGAGUGGCGGACGGGUGAGUAAUAUAUCGGAACGUGCCCAGUAGCGGGGGAUCACUACUGGGAAGAGUUGCUAAUACCGCCUACUAUUGGAGCGGCCGGUUUCGGAUUAGCUAGUUGGUGGGGUAAAGGCUUACCAAGGCAACGAUCCGUAGCUGGUUUGAGAGGAGGACCAGCCACACUGGGACUGAGACACGGUCCAGACUCCUACGGGAGGCAGCAGUGGGGAAUAUUGGACAAUGGGCGAAAGCCUGAUCCAGCCAUGCCGCGUGUAUGAGAAGGCCUUCGGAUUGUAAAGUACUUUUAGUUGAGAAGCGGUAUCAGCAGAAUAAGCACCGGCUAACUACGUGCCAGCAGCCGCGGUAAUAC